rnacentral:rRNA from 1 species
UACGUAGGGCGCGAGCGUUGUCCGGAUUUAUUGGGCGUAAAGAGCUCGUAGGCGGCUUGAUAAGUCGGAUGUGAAACCUCCAGGCUCAACCUGGAGUCGCCAUCCGAUACUGUCAUAGCUAGAGUCCGGUAGGGGCCCACGGAACUCCUGGUGUAGCGGUGAAAUGCGCAGAUAUCAGGAAGAACACCGAUGGCGAAGGCAGUGGGCUGGGCCGGUACUGACGCUGAGGAGCGAAAGCGUGGGGAGCGAACAGG